rnacentral:rRNA from 1 species
UAUCCUACGGGAGGCAGCAGUGGGGAAUAUUGCACAAUGGGGGAAACCCUGAUGCAGCGACGCCGCGUGAGUGAAGAAGUAAUUCGUUACGUAAAGCUCUAUCAGCAGGGAAGAAACACUGACCUUACGGUCAGCAGACGGUACCUGAGUAAGAAGCCCCGGCUAACUACGUGCCAGCAGCCGCGGUAAUACGUAGGGGGCAAGCGUUAUCCGGAUUUACUGGGUGUAAAGGGUGCGUAGACGGGAAAUUAAGUUAGUUGUGAAAUCCCUCGGCUCAACUGAGGAACUGCAACUAAAACUGGUUU